UACGUAGGGUGCGAGCGUUAAUCGGAAUUACUGGGCGUAAAGCGUGCGUAGGCGGUUUUGUAAGUCAGGUGUGAAAUCCCCGGGCUCAACCUGGGAAUGGCAUUUGGGACUGCAAGGCUGGAGUGCGGCAGAGGAGACUGGAAUUCCUGGUGUAGCAGUGAAAUGCGUAGAUAUCAGGAGGAAUACCGAUGGCGAAGGCAGGUCUCUGGGCUGACACUGACGCUCAGGCACGAAAGCGUGGGGAGCAAACAGG
rnacentral:rRNA from 1 species